CCUACGGGAGGCAGCAGUGGGGAAUAUUGGUCAAUGGACGAGAGUCUGAACCAGCCACGUCGCGUGAAGGAUGACUGCCCUAUGGGUUGUAAACUUCUUUUAUAUGGGAGUAAAAUGUUUCACGUAUGGGAUAUUGCAUGUACCUUAUGAAUAAGCAUCGGCAAACUCCGUGCCAGCCGCGGCGGUAAUACGGGGGAUGGGAGGGUUGUCCGGUUUUAUUGGGUUUAAGGGGUGCGUAGGCGGUACUGUAAGUUAGUGGGAAAGCGCCCGGGCUUCACCUAGAUUGGCCAUUAAAACUGGAGUACUUGAGUGCAGAAGAGGUAGGUGGAAUAAGUUAAGUAGCGGUGAAAUGCUUAGAUAUAACUUAGAACCCCAGUAGCGAAGGCAGCUUACCGGACUGUUACUGACGCUGAAGCACGAGAGCGUGGGUAGCGAACAGGAUUAGAUACCCUUGUAGUC
rnacentral:rRNA from 1 species